UAAGAUGGAAGAAGGAACCAGAUGAGGGAAGAUUAACCUUUCGCUGUCCACAAUUCUUUCCCUCUUAUCGUGGAGGAUUCGGUAACCCACCCCCCUCCAAUCCAGCCUAUCUGUCUGAAUUGCUGAAAGCAUAAUGCUCACAUAUGAGAGAUAAAAAGUGCCCACUGGUCCUGCUCUGUUUGCCAUCAAGAAUGAGCUGCCGGGACUAGGAAUGUUUCCCAGACGGGAGGUGAGGAGGUCAGUCUGGACCUCUGGACAUUCGCAGCGCUAACUCGCAGACGUGUCAUGUGAAAGCAGUCCAUCUGAAUGUAGCAGCAAAGCAUGAGCUCCUGAAGGAGAAAAAGAUAAAAGAAAAAAAGAAAGAAAGAAGCAGAGCAACACAGGUAUUACUCUCUCUGUUGACAAAGAGCAGUUUCUGUUCUGUGUGCAAAAUAUUUCCUUUUCUUCUACUAUGUCU
rnacentral:lncRNA from 1 species